UUGGGAGCUCUCCCAUAUGGUCGACCUGCAGGCGGCCGCGAAUUCACUAGUGAUUAGAGUUUGAUCAUGGCUCAGAUUGAACGCUGGCGGCAUGCCUAACACAUGCAAGUCGAACGGCAGCACAGUAAAGAUUUCGGUCUUUAUGGGGUGGCGAGUGGCGGACGGGUGAGUAACACGUAGGAAUCUGUCCUGGAGCGUGGGAUAACCCGAGGAAACUCGGGCUAAUACCACAUGAUAUCGAGAGAUCAAAAGCAGGGGACCGAAAGGCCUUGCGCUCUGGGUGAGCCUACGUCGGAUUAGCUAGUUGGUGGGGUAAAAGCCUACCAAGGCGACGAUCCGUAGCUGGUCUGAGAGGAUGACCAGCCACACUGGGACUGAGACACGGCCCAGACUCCUACGGGAGGCAGCAGUGGGGAAUCUUGGACAAUGGGGGAAACCCUGAUCCAGCGAUGCCGCGUGUGUGAAGAAGGCCUUCGGGUUGUAAAGCACUUUAGGUGGGGAAGAAAGGUAACGAGCGAAUAACUCGUUGCUAUGACGGUACCCGCAGAAUAAGCACCGGCUAACUCUGUGCCAGCAGCCGCGGUAAAUCGAAUUCCCGCGGCCGCCAUGGCGGCCGGGAGCAUG
rnacentral:rRNA from 1 species